GAUGAAGAACGUAGCGAAAUGCGAUACGUAAUGUGAAUUGCAAAUUCAGUGAAUCAUCGAGUCUUUGAACGCACAUUGCGCCCCCUGGUAUUCCGGGGGGCAUGCCUGUCCGAGCGUCAUUGCUGCCCUCAAGCACGGCUUGUGUGUUGGGCCCCGUCCUCCGAUUCCGGGGGACGGGCCCGAAAGGCAGCGGCGGCACCGCGUCCGGUCCUCGAGCGUAUGGGGCUUUGUCACCCGCUCUGUAGGCCCGGCCGGCGCUUGCCGAUCAACCCAAAUUUUUAUCCAGGUUGACCUCGGAUCAGGUAGGGAUACUCGCUGAACUUAAGCAUAUCAAUAAGCGGAGGA
rnacentral:misc_RNA from 1 species